AGUUGAACCCAAUAAUUUAUUUAAAAGAAGCUCAACUAAAAAUUAAUGAAGCCCAAAUAAAUAAAUAAAUAAAAUUUUUGUUGACCCAUACAGUUAAUUCAAUUAAUUAGGCAAAGCCCUAAACAAUAAAAGAACUUAUGAUCCCAGACAAGAAGUCCAAUAGAAAUUUUGGGCCCAAAGUUGAAUUAAGCAACAUUUGGCCCAACUCUCUCUUUCUCUGUAACAGAAAACACGGGCACCACACUCAUCUCUCUGGCGACGUCGCCGCUCCUCUCCCUUUCUUUUCUUCACCCCCUCUUUGUCUCUGGCUGAAAAACACACACACACAUGAGCCCUAAAUCCCCAAAUUAAAAUCUCCUCUGAAACUGCCUCCGCCGCGUCUCUCUUGGGCGACGUAUCCGGAGAGGCCAUCGGUCCUUCGACGCAGUCACCACGCAUUGCUCCGGAAACCGUAACUCGAAGCUGACAAAAGGAAAGACUCGACAUCUUCCUAGCAAAAACCAGUUCAAAAUUCAAUCUUUCACUGUGUAAUAGGAUUUCUAUUGUAUUUCAUUUGUUCAUUCUUGUGAUUUGUGGAAUGAAGACUUAUCAUUUGGUUUAGAUGGUGUAAUGUUUGUUACUCAACAGCUCACCUGCGCAGCGCAAACUACAACAUGUGGCAUCGAUCGAUUAGUGAUAGAGUCGCAUCUAAUUUUGCUCAAACUGUCAGUUUGUGAAUGCUGCAAGCUAUGGCCGUGGCAAACAUAGAUUUCUAUGCACUAAAUGUGGAAAAUUCAACCAUAUAUACCGUUGACAAGUGUUUUGAGAUUAUUGGUUAUUGGGGAAAAUUUCCUGACUUGAAGAAGGAUCUGCUGGUAUAGCUACUAGUGAAGGAUAUUAUCAAGGAUCUUCAAGUGCCUCUUGAAUCAUUGACUAAUGAUCAGUGUUUGCAGCUGAAAACCACAUCAUCUUCAUCUCAAUCUUCUCAACUUCCUCAAGCUACACCUCCACCGAAUACAUCAACCUCUCACAACAGUAGCACUUGAGCUUUUAGUGGAAGUUUCACAGGGGACUCGGAUUGGGAAAUCUCUAUGUUUUGGACACUCAUCUACUUGUUCUUGUUGUUGUACCUGCUAGGAUAGAUGGUGUUUCUGCCAAUCCAUAUAUCUUUCAAUAAACAUCAAAUCAUGUCAAUACAGUUAUCUCUUCAAUCUUGUAAUCACUCUAUUUGUGAGAUUUGUCCAUUAGCUAAGCAACAUAGACUGUCUUUCUCUGUAUCUUCUAGUAAUGCUAUAAACAUCUUUAAUCUUAUACAUUGUGAUAUAUGGGGUCCUUAUAGAACUCCCACAGUUCAA